GGCAGAGUAGAGCAAUGGCAGCUCGCAAGGUUCAUACCCUUGAGGCAGACGGUUCGAUUCCGUCCUCUGCAACCA
rnacentral:tRNA from 1 species